UACGGAGGGGGCUAGCGUUGUUCGGAAUUACUGGGCGUAAAGCGCACGUAGGCGGCUUUGUAAGUUAGAGGUGAAAGCCCGGGGCUCAACUCCGGAAUUGCCUUUAAGACUGCAUCGCUUGAACGUCGGAGAGGUAAGUGGAAUUCCGAGUGUAGAGGUGAAAGUCGUAGAUAUGCGGAAGAACACAAGUGGCGAAGGCGACUUACUGGACGACUGUUGACGCUGAGGUGCGAAAGCGUGGGGAGCAAACAGG
rnacentral:rRNA from 1 species